UUGUAUUUUUUUAAGGAAAAAAGCAGUACCAAACGGUUAAACUCAUUGUUAUUCAUUGUUAUUCAUUGUUUUUUAAAGCAUUAAUUGUUGUGGAUUUGUAUCAGAAGAAUGAAAUGAGGCUUAUGUCUUCUGCCCGACAAAUUUGUGCAAAUGUGGGCGGUGGAGUUUAUGCAUUUUCCAGCACCUGUUUGGCAUGGGGAGCAUAUUCUUGCUUUGAUUUGGACCUAUUGCAAUAACAAAUAUUGCAGAUCCUCAGCUGGUGCAAGAGAUAUUCUCUGUGAGGUCUAAUGAUUAUGAGAAAAUUGAGGGCAAUAAUGCUCGCAAGAAAUUGGAAGGUGAAGAGUUACUGGACUUCAAAGGCGAGAAUGGGCUCAGCACAGAAGAUUCAUCAAUCCUGCUUUUCACAUGGAAAAUAUCCAAAGGGUUUAUUUCUUUUACUAUGAGUUGGAGGAGUUAUGCUUUUCAACAAUGAGCUAUAAAUUUGAUUGCUAAGGUACGUCCAAGAAUUCAAACUUCUCAUUUCAGAGAAUUUAAUGUUUUUGCUAACCAAUAGACAAGGUUCAAGACUACUAGAAUAGUGUACUAUUUCCUUUAGGUCAUUAUCCCCACUAUCCUGUAGAUGGCAAGUAAAUGUACAUGUACAAAUUAUUUCAUGAUUUUGACGCUAAGUUUUUUAUUAAUGUUCGGUGUGAAAUGAGCAUU